rnacentral:rRNA from 1 species
UGGGGAAUAUUGCACAAUGGGGGAAACCCUGAUGCAGCCAUGCCGCGUGUGUGAAGAAGGUCUUCGGAUUGUAAAGCACUUUAAGUUGGGAGGAAGGGCAGUAACUUAAUACGUUGCUGUUUUGACGUUACCGACAGAAUAAGCACCGGCUAACUCUGUGC